UUGAACGCUGGCGGAAUGCUUUACACAUGCAAGUCGAGCGGCAGCGCGGGGGCAACCCUGGCGGCGAGCGGCGAACGGGUGAGUAACAUAUCGGAACGUACCCUGUCGUGGGGGAUAACACAGCGAAAGCUGUGCUAAUACCGCAUACGACCUGAGGGUGAAAGCGGGGGAUCGCAAGACCUCGCGCGAUAGGAGCGGCCGAUAUCGGAUUAGCUUGUUGGUGAGGUAAAGGCUCACCAAGGCGACGAUCCGUAGCUGGUCUGAGAGGACGACCAGCCACACUGGAACUGAGACACGGUCCAGACUCCUACGGGAGGCAGCAGUGGGGAAUUUUGGACAAUGGGGGCAACCCUGAUCCAGCCAUUCCGCGUGAGUGAAGAAGGCCUUCGGGUUGUAAAGCUCUUUCAGCCGGAACGAAACGGUACGCUCUAACAUAGCGUGCUAAUGACGGUACCGGCAGAAGAAGCACCGGCUAACUACGU
rnacentral:rRNA from 1 species